GGGUGGAAGUGUAAUAAUUUCAAAACGUAACACAUCUAAGCAUGUUCGGAAAUAUAAAUUUACUUAAAAAUAACUACUUUUGAGAUUAGCAAUGCAUGCUGUAAAACCAACCAAUGAAACCAGAUUUGAAGAUGAGAGCCAGGUGGAAUAAAUUUAUAUAUUUGAAUAUUUUUCACAUCCAAAAAGAAAAAGAAAUACAAGCAAGCAUUUGCCCUUAGAAUUAUGAUGGACAAUUAAGUGCUAUGCUCGACCUUAACUCGAACAAACAAAAUGAGUGGUUGAGUACAACUACAGCUCCAAAGCUAAAGAGAACAUUUGUUCCUCAAGAAGAAGUAUUGAACAUUGAGUGUCGCAACAAAUUACCUCGUAAAAUCUGGAAUUCAUCCAUACAAUGCACGCCAUGGCUCUUCUGCAUCCCUUGUAGUUUCGGUUGGUUUCCAUGCCAUUUUUUCCUUUGCAAAAUUAAGAGAAGAAAUGCUUGCCAAACGCUCUCCUAUUGCAUAUAUUACCUGAUGAAAAGUCUCGUAAACAUAAAAAAGUAAACAAGUACAUACAGAAACUACAAGCGAUAAAAGUUACUCUCUUUUUUUGGAUUUUCAGUUCAAUAUUACUUUUUUGAUAAGUAAAAAACAGCAAUUCACAAAAGACAUAAGUUUACUUUAUUUUAAGCCAACCAAACAUGCUGAAACAUAGAGUGGGGUGAUGAGAAGAAGAAAGUAGAAUGCAGUAAUACUGAAUAAUGUCAUGUCAAUCUCGUAUCUAAUGAAUUUUGAAGGCUAUCGUGAUAAGAUUAUUAUAUGUAUUGAACCAAGAUAAUCCCACCACCUACUAGCCUCACAAUAGGUAAAAAACAGAUUAAAUC
rnacentral:lncRNA from 1 species